GAUGAAGAACGCAGUGAAAUGCGAUAAGUAAUGUGAAUUGCAGAAUUCAGUGAGUCAUCGAGUCUUUGAACGCACAUUGCGCCCCCUGGUAUUCCGGGGGGCAUGCCUGUCCGAGCGUCAUUGCUGCCCUCAAGCACGGCUUGUGUGUUGGGCCCCCGUCCCCGGUUUCCCCCGGGGACGGGCCCGAAAGGCAGCGGCGGCACCGCGUCCGGUCCUCGAGCGUAUGGGGCUUUGUCACCCGCUCUGUAGGCCCGGCCGGCGCCAGCCGACACCCAACUUUAUUUCUAAGGUUGACCUCGGAUCAGGUAGGGAUACCCGCUGAACUUAAGCAUAUCAAUAAGCGGAGGA
rnacentral:misc_RNA from 1 species